UGAGUGACACUGAGUGACGGUGACAGGAAGCCACCCCCCAAUAAAGCUGUAAAGUGACACUGAGUGACACCAAGUGACACUGAGUGACACCCCGGUGACAGUGACGAGGCCACCCCGCAGUAAAGCUGUCGGGUGACACCGCGCUGGCUCGUCGCUGCUCUUGGGGACAUCGCGAAGCCACCGCCCCCCCCCCAGCCUGGGGACAGCGGGAUUGUCCCCAGAGGUGUCCCCUGGGAGGGGACAGUGACAGGCCACACGCGGGAGGGGGAUGGCAUUUAUUGUCACCUGCGGGGACGGGGAGGGGUGGCACUGGGCAGGGGACACGUGGGGUGACACCGCGGUGUCACCAGGGGUGGCUGUGGGUGACGGGGGCAGCGCUGCAGGGGACACUGCCACUGGGGAGGGGACACUGCCACCGGGGAGGUGACACUGUCUGGAUGUGACACUGCCACCGGGGAGGUGACACUGCCACUGGGGAGGACACACUGCCACCGCAGAGGUGACAUUGUCUGGAUGUGACACUGCCACCGGGGAGGGGACACUGCCACUGGGGAGGGGACACUGCCACCGGGGAGGGGACACUGCCACCGGGGAGGUGACAUUGUCUGGAUGUGACACUGCCACCGGGGAGGGGACACUGCCACUGGGGAGGGGACACCAGGGAUGGCACCUGGAGGUGACACUGCCACCAGAGAGGGGACACUGCCACGGGGGAGGGGACACUGCCUGGAUGUGACACUGGCACCAGGGAGGUGACACUGCCACCAGAGGUGACACUGCCACUGGGGAGGUGACACUGCCACCCUGAAAGUAACACUGCCACCAGGGAGGGUGACACCGGGGAUGGCAC